GAUGAACGCUGGCGGCGUGCCUAAUACAUGCAAGUCGAGCGAACAGACGAGGAGCUUGCUCCUCUGACGUUAGCGGCGGACGGGUGAGUAACACGUGGAUAACCUACCUAUAAGACUGGGAUAACUUCGGGAAACCGGAGCUAAUACCGGAUAAUAUAUUGAACCGCAUGGUUCAAUAGUGAAAGACGGUUUUGCUGUCACUUAUAGAUGGAUCCGCGCCGCAUUAGCUAGUUGGUAAGGUAACGGCUUACCAAGGCAACGAUGCGUAGCCGACCUGAGAGGGGGGGACGGCCCACUGGGAACGGAGCACCGGUCCAGCCCCCUAGGGGAGGAAGAGGGAGGAAUUUUUCCGCAGGGGGGGAAAGCCUGCCGGAGCACCGCGGGGGGGGUGAUAAAGGUCUUCGGUUCGUAAAACCUUUUUAUUAGGGAAAAAAAAAUGUGUAAGUAACUAUGCCCGUCUGGACGGUACCUAAAAAAAAAGCCGCGGCUACCUACGG
rnacentral:rRNA from 1 species